rnacentral:rRNA from 1 species
CAAUAAGCGGAGGAAAAGAAACUAACAAGGAUUCCCCUAGUAACUGCGAGUGAAGCGGGAAAAGCUCAAAUUUAAAAUCUGGCGGUCUAUGGCUGUCCGAGUUGUAAUCUAGAGAAGUAAUGCCCGCGCUGGACCGUGUACAAGUCUCCUGGAAUGGAGCGUCAUAGAGGGUGAGAAUCCCGUCUUUGACACGGACUACCAGGGCUUUGUGGUAUGCUCUCAAAGAGUCGAGUUGUUUGGGAAUGCAGCUCUAAAUGGGUGGUAAAUUCCAUCUAAAGCUAAAUAUUGGCGAGAGACCGAUAGCGAACAAGUACCGUGAGGGAAAGAUGAAAAGAACUUUGGAAAGAGAGUUAAACAGUACGUGAAAUUGCUGAAAGGGAAACGCUUGAAGUCAGUCGCGUUGACUAGAACUCAGCUUCACUUUUGUGGGGUGUACUUUUUAGUUGACGGGUCAGCAUCAAUUCUGACUGCUGGAAAAAGGCUUAGGGAAUGUGGCAGCUCCGGCUGUGUUAUAGCCCUUUGUCACAUACAGCUGUUGGGAUUGAGGAACUCAGCACGCCGCAAGGCCGGGUUUCGACCACGUUCGUGCUUAGGAUGCUGGCAUAAUGGCUUUAAGCGACCCGUCUUGAAACACGGACCAAGGAGUCUAACAUGCCUGCGAGUGUUUGGGUGGUAAACCCGAGCGCGUAAUGAAAGUGAAAGUUGAGAUCCCUGUCGUGGGGAGCAUCGACGCCCGGACCUGACCUUUUGUGACGGAUCCGCGGUAGAGCAUGUAUGUUGGGACCCGAAAGAUGGUGAACUAUGCCUGAAUAGGGUGAAGCCAGAGGAAACUCUGGUGGAGGCUCGUAGCGAUUCUGACGUGCAAAUCGAUCGUCAAAUUUGGGUAUAGGGGCGAAAGACUAAUCGAACCAUC